rnacentral:rRNA from 1 species
AACGAACGCUGGCGGCGCGUCUUAAACAUGCAAGUCGAACGAUCUGUAGCAAUACAGGGAGUGGCGGACGGGUGAGGAACACGUAGGAAUCUACCUCGAAGAGCGGGACAACUUUGGGAAACCGGGGCUAAUACCGCAUAGUACAGAGAUGUUAAAGGGCUAGCAAUAGUCGCUUCGAGAUGAGCCUGCGGUCUAUCAGCUUGUUGGUGAGGUAAUGGCUCACCAAGGCUACGACGGAUAGCCGGUCUGAGAGGAUGAUCGGCCACACUGGCACUGAGACACGGGCCAGACUCCUACGGGAGGCAGCAGUUAAGAAUCUUGCGCAAUGGGGGCAACCCUGACGCAGCGACGCCGCGUGAAGGAUGAAGGCUUUCGGGUUGUAAACUUCGGUAGACUGGGAAGAAGAACUACGUUCGUUGAGGGCGUAGAGUGACGGUACCAGUCUGAAGCCCCGGCUAAUUACGUGCCAGCAGCCGCGGUAAU